CUGUCAAAGUAAACAAAAAUGGAUCUUCUUUCGAUGCUAAUGUCUUCUUAACUAGUGCUUCUAUCGUAAGAAACCUUGAUACAGAUUUGUCUUACCAAACAUCAAAUUCUUCUUAUUCCAUGAUACUUCAACAGAAAAACACCAUCGCAUUUAAGGUGGAACUUAGCUAAGUUUUCUUUCCACCCACACAAGAAACAAUCUCAUUUCUAAGACAGAAUAGAAAAUCUCUCAUUUUAUUAAUAAUAAUGGCCAACCACACAAGUUAUAUUACAAAUCAUCAUAAUCCUAAAUUAACAACAUAUAAAGAAACAAAAAUCAACAAUGUAUAUAUAAUAUCAAACCCAUCAACCAUAAAAGAGAGAAAAACAAAAAAUCCAUUUUCCAAAUAUUACAAACACUCUAUAUAUAAACUCCAAGGGAACGAACCAAAUAUAUACCUCAUCUGAAAACUCUACAAUUUAGUGCAAGAAAAUGGCAAAAAGAGACACGAUAAUAGAAGAACAUAUAAAAUUGACAGAAACCGGCAAGGCGAAUCCGGCUCCGGUGUCCAUUGCAGGUGUAGGAGAGAUAUCUUGUGCCAUUACUGCAAAAGUGCACAACAAAAAUAAUGCUAGAAGGAUGUGAACAGUUGAAGCUCCAAAAUUUGCCAUUUUGCUUAAUUACCAAAAGGCUAUUUUGGAGGAGGAGAAGAAAGGGAGAAGAGGAUUAGUGCAAGGGUUGAGCAAUGAUUUUGUAUUGGUAGGGAAAGAGUAUGAGACUAUGAAUUUAUAGGGAGUUAUGUUGCCUUUGUUAUGAAGGGUUGUGGGAGCCAUGCACAGUUGUAGACCAAGUGAUGAUGCAAUCAUCUAUGGAUUUGGAGUAUCUCCAUGUAUUGACGUGGUAGUAGGUGAUUGGUUCUUGCAUCUUCUUAAAAUGAGCCUGGCUAGCGCAUGGCUAUUGCCACUCGUCCACAGGUAUUCCGCAUCCCCG
rnacentral:lncRNA from 1 species